rnacentral:RNase_P_RNA from 1 species
GGAGCAGAUCAGGUGGUCGCCGUUCCCUCGAGGGAACGGAGGAAAGUCCGAGCUCCGCAGGGCAGGAUGGUCGCUAACGGCGACUGGGGGCAACCCUAAGGAAAGUGCCACAGAAAAGAUACCGCCUGCAUAUUGCAGGUAAGGGUGAAAAGGCGAGGUAAGAGCUCACCAGUUUCCCGGGUGACCGGGAAAGCUUGGUAAACCCCAUCCGGAGCAAGACCGAAUAGGAGAACGCUUGAGGGCGGCCCGUCCAAAGUUCUCGGGUAGUGUCGCUUGAGGCGGCAGGCAACUGUCGUCCCAGAUGAAUGACCACCGCCGCUCGGCCGGUAACGGCCGUGCGGGACAGAACUCGGCUUACGAUCUGGUCCGGCA